UACAGAGGGUGCAAGCGUUGUUCGGAAUUAUUGGGCGUAAAGGGCGCGUAGGCGGUGCCACAAGUCACCUGUGAAAUCUCCGGGCUUAACUCGGAGCCUGCAGGCGAAACUGUGGUGCUGGAGUGUGGGAGAGGUGCGUGGAAUUCCCGGUGUAGCGGUGGAAUGCGUAGAUAUCAGGAGGAACACCUGUGGCGAAAGCGGCUCACUGGACCAUUACUGACGCUGAGGCUCGAAAGCUAGGGGAGCAAACAGG
rnacentral:rRNA from 1 species